rnacentral:rRNA from 1 species
AUACGGAGGGUGCAAGCGUUACUCGGAAUCACUGGGCGUAAAGCGCGCGCAGGCGGGCUGAUAAGUUGGAUGUGAAAGCCUACGGCUCAACCGUAGAACUGCAUCCAAAACUGUCAGUCUAGAGUCUGGGAGGGGAAGAUGGAAUUAGUUGUGUAGGGGUAAAAUCCGUAGAGAUAACUAGGAAUACCAAAAGCGAAGGCGAUCUUCUGGAACAGUACUGACGCUGAGGCGCGAAAGCGUGGGGAGCAAACAGGAUUAGAUACCCCUGUAGUCC